CCGGCAUGAUGAAAUCAGUAAUGGCUGCUCUCAUCAAGGGGGAGCGGAGCGUCGAAGCAACGCCUGCUAACGCGAUCCGAGCUGGGAAGAAAGCUCACUGAAUGGCCAGCUAUGUCUUUCUGCUUCAAGUUGCCAUUAGGGCUCGGUGGGAGUCCGUUAAUUAACGGCAUGAAAGGGCAGAGUCGUGGCGCCUUUUAACUUAAAUGCCACCCUGGGCGGGCGAAGCAGUCCUCUUCAGAGAGUGCUGGACUUGAAAGGGAACGGCACAGGUGUCUGCAUCCCUUGCCUCUAUCGAUACUUACAUUCUUGGAGAGGGAUGUGUCUUCUAUCU
rnacentral:lncRNA from 1 species